rnacentral:ribozyme from 1 species
CUUCUUCUUCCUCUUCCUCGUCGUCGUCGUCAGCAUCCUCAUCGUCAUCCUCAUCGUCGUCGGCAUCCUCAUCAUCGUCGUCACGGUAAAGAGAUGAUGGCAUCACUCCAAUAAAUUAUUUAUGUUGAAACAGUAU